UACGUAGGGGGCUAGCGUUAUGCGGAAUUACUGGGCGUAAAGGGUGCGUAGGUGGUUUCUUAAGUCAGAGGUGAAAGCCCACGGCUUAACCGUGGAGGGUCAUUGGAAACUGGUCGACUUGAGUGCAGAAGAGGGAAGUGGAAUUCCAUGUGUAGCGGUGAAAUGCGUAGAGAUAUGGAGGAACACCAGUGGCGAAGGCGGCUCCCUGGUCUGUAACUGACACUGAGGCGCGAAAGCGUGGGGAGCAAACAGGAUUAGAUACCCUGGUAGUCCCU
rnacentral:rRNA from 1 species